UACGGAGGGGGCUAGCGUUGUUCGGAAUUACUGGGCGUAAAGCGCACGUAGGCGGACAGUUAAGUCGGGGGUGAAAUCCCGGGGCUCAACCCCGGAACUGCCUUCGAUACUGGCUGUCUGGAGGUCGAGAGAGGUGAGUGGAAUUCCGAGUGUAGAGGUGAAAUUCGUAGAUAUUCGGAGGAACACCAGUGGCGAAGGCGGCUCACUGGCUCGAUACUGACGCUGAGGCACGAAAGCGUGGGGAGCGAACAGG
rnacentral:rRNA from 1 species